UAUGAUCUAGUCUCUGUAUUCACACAUGAUCACUUCUUCUUUAUUCUAUUGGUCAUACAAACCAAUCCAGACACACAGGGACUAACAAGGAUAUGAACACCAGCAGAUGAAGAUCAUCAGUACCAUCUUGGAGGCUGGCUACCACAACAGUUAAAGAACUCCCUUUAGCAUUUCUCGUAGGACAGGUCUGGUGUUAAUGAAAUCCCUCAGCUUUUGUUUGUCUGGAAAAGUGUGUCUCCUUCAUGUUUAAAGGAUAUUUUAGCUGGAUAUACUACUCUAAGCAACCCAGUGAUUCCAUGGAAAGCAGAAAGAAGGACAUAAAGAAACGGAUACUUGGUGACAUCUUUGACUCACUGGAUCAAACCUUGCCUGAAGCUCACAUUUCUGAAAUUUCCAGAUACAAGAACAAAUACUUCCUCUUUAUUGUUUUACUAGAUUUGAGACAAGCUUUAAGUUUCUCAGACUCUUCCUCUUCCUAACAGAUUUAUCAGAAGCUGAAAGCUCUGAUCUUGUUGGGAUGCGGAUCGUGUCAGGAGAAGGCUUACUUUGCACGCUUUUCUUAGUCUGGUUGCCUAACUCAAGAACCUCGGCAUGGCUCUGUUACUUCUCUACUCAGACAAGCAUCCCUGCAGACACUCACUAGGCUAACUCUGUCUUUAUUUUUAGAAUUAGACCUUUACGAGAAGCACAGUUUUGUCUUCAGUUUCCUCUCCCCCCACCCGGAAUGGCCUGAGCCGAAGCCAGCUCCCUCCGAGAAGUCAUUACCGCCUGACUUGCGUUUGAUAUUUAGACACCUUGGUCACAACAUCUUGCAUUCUCUCGGGAUGCUGAUUUCUAACUGCUCUUUGGCCUUUCCUGCAUUGGUCCUCCUCAGGCAGGGGAUCCCUGCUCUUCUAUAUUAAUGCUGGCUCCCCGUCCCCUGUCCACC
rnacentral:lncRNA from 1 species